GGCACUUAGGGCACUGGCACACACAGUUGGCAUGAUCCAUCGGGAGACACGCCCUGGGAGCCCUGCACCUUCUCCACAGCCCCAAAGGGAGAAUUGCUCUGUGGAGUGUCGAGUACCAGGCAGAGCUCCUCUACCUCCUCAUAGAGCACAUCGUCCAUGAGCUCAAGGACGCAGGGCUUUUCAGUCUCACCUGGAAGAAUAACGUCAGCAGUUUUAAUAAGUGAAUAAGGAGGAGCAGCGAGGACGGCGUGGGCUGUGGAGCGGAGCACAAUGACAGCGCCUUCCUGGAGCCUGGGUAUGACAUCUGCCUGGAAGAUCUUGGCGAUCUCCACAGAGCUGCCUGGAGGGGCACAGUUCCCAGAGUGGAGCUCAUUCUCAUGCUCAGGAACCCUGGCUUGGACAAGAGAGACAAGAAGAAGAG